CUAGUGUUAUGCCAGUUCACCUUUAUCCACGGGUUCACCUAUAUCUGUGCCUUGAAUUGACAUUCCUAGUGUUGUGAAUAUUAUUGUCCUGGCUAAAAAUUAUAACUUUUUCCCUGCUGGUUGGUAAAACAACAUAUACAUACUGGGUUCGUAGCUACAUAACCAACUGGAAGGAAAACUGAUACAGUUUAAAUGUGACCAAAACCAUCGGUACUUUUUAAUCAUCUUGUUGCAUAGAAAACCAUAGCAGCAACGCAAAGUUGUAAUAACGUUCAUUUGGAGCCACAGUCAUACACAUGAAUCACCAUAGAAACAGUCACUUAUCAAUAUUCACGUUGGUCCACUGAUUCGUACAUAUCGAUAUUUGUUCACUGAUAUUCAUCAAUAUCUGUCCGAGACAAGCCAAGGUGUUAUCCAGUAACAUUGCUGAUCUAACACUCACUAUCAUGAACAUAGUCUUGCUUUUGUACAAUAUUCUCUUCCCUCCAGAUGACAAAUCAUCAUUACAAAUGAUGCCACAAAGAUCAUCUUUGUUGGUAGUAGUAGUUGGUAGUAAACAUAGUUAAACACAAAUAAACUUUCUUCAAGCACAUCGGUAAAAUUUUCAACAACGACUUUCUGUCGCCUUGUUAAGGAUCAAUGAUGACAUUAAUCCACUGCAAUAUCCAACAUGAAGGCAAAAUCUUACAUAGCCAGAUUAACAUUACUUUGCUCCUUAUAACUUUCUGUAGAGUUUGAUCUUACGUGUGUACCAAUUUAAAUAACAUUCUGUGAGCCUCCCUCUGAAUAAGGGCUCAAAUUUCAGGGCAGGUAUAUUUUUCUACAAGCAAGAGUUUUUUAUGGACUCUCUGUUCCAU